ensembl:snRNA U6 U6 spliceosomal RNA
UUGCUUCAGCAGCACAUAGACUAAAAUGGGAAUGAUACAGGGAAGAUUCGCAUGGCCACUGCACAAGGAUGACACACAAAUUUGUGAAGCAUUCCAUAUUUUU